UAGGGUGACCAGCUAGUCCGGGUUUGUCCAGGACUGUCCUGGUUUUAGCACCGAAAGUUCUACAUCCCGGGAAAUCCCCCAGUUCUGGGCAAACCGGGAUGGUUGGUUACCCUGGUGCCUU
rnacentral:pre_miRNA from 1 species